rnacentral:ncRNA from 1 species
AAAGACUUAGUCCUAACCUUACUGUUAAUUCUUGCCAAACAUAUACAUGCAAGUAUCCGCGCCCCAGUGUAAAUGCCCUCAAUCCCUAAUCCCUCUAGGCAGGAGGAGCAGGUAUCAGGCACACCCAUAGCUGUAGCCUAAGACGCCUUGCCUAGCCACACCCCCACGGGUACUCAGCAGUAAUUAACAUUAAGCAAUAAGUGAAAGCUUGACUUAGUUAUGGCAACACCUAGGGUUGGUAAAUCUUGUGCCAGCUACCGCGGUCAUACAAGAGACCCAAAUUAACCGUAACACGGCGUAAAGAGUGGUACUAUGCUAUCAUAACAACUAAGAUCAAAAUGCAACUGAGCUGUCAUAAGCCUAAGCUGCAUCUAAAACCAUUGUCAAAACAAUCUUAGCAACCAUGACUGAUUAAACCCCACGAAAGCUAGGGCACAAACUGGGAUUAGAUACCCCACUAUGCCUGGCCCUAAAUCUCGAUACUUACCCCCACUGAAGUAUCCGCCUGGGAACUACGAGCACAAACGCUUAAAACUCUAAGGACUUGGCGGUGCCCCAAACCCACCUAGAGGAGCCUGUUCUAUAAUCGAUAACCCACGAUCCACCCGACCACUCCUUGCCAACGCAGCCUACAUACCGCCGUCGCCAGCUCACCUCUUCUGAGAGCCCUACAGUGGGCACAAUAGCCCCUCCCCACGCGCUAAUAAGACAGGUCAAGGUAUAGCCCAUGGAGUGGAAGAAAUGGGCUACAUUUUCUAAAAUAGAAGACUCACGAAAAGGGGACUGAAACUCUCCCCUAGAAGGCGGAUUUAGCAGUAAAGAGAAAUAAUAAUGUCCUCUUUAAGUCGGCUCUGAGGCACGUACAUACCGCCCGGGACCCUCCGGACAAGCUAUGAACCCCUAAGUAAAUAAACCACCAAUCAGCCAAAGACGAGGUAAGUCGUAACAAGGUAAGUGUACCGGAAGGUGCACUUAGCAC